GCCGGGAUAGCUCAGCUGGGAGAGCAACAGACUGAAGCAUACAGGGCUGUCUUCUGGAGGUCGCGUGUUCAAUCCACGCUCCUGGCA